rnacentral:rRNA from 1 species
GAUGAACGCUGGCGGCGUGCCUAAUACAUGCAAGUCGAGCGAACGGACGAGAAGCUUGCUUUUCUGAUGUUAGCGGCGGACGGGUGAGUAACACGUGGAUAACCUACCUAUAAGACUGGGAUAACUUCGGGAAACCGGAGCUAAUACCGGAUAAUAUUUUGAACCGCAUGGUUCAAAAGUGAAAGACGGUCUUGCUGUCACUUAUAGAUGGAUCCACGCUGCAUUAGCUAGUUGGUAAGGUAACGGCUUACCAAGGCAACGAUGCAUAGCCGACCUGAGAGGGUGAUCGGCGACACUGGAACUGAGACACGGUCCAGAGUCCUACGGGAGGCAGCAGUAGGGAAUCUUGCGCAAUGGGGGAAAGCCUGACGGAGCAACGCCGCGUGAGUGAAGAAGGUCUUCGGAGCGUAAAACUCUGUUAUUAGGGAAGAACAUAUGUGUAAGUAACUGUGCACAUCUUGACGGUACCUAAUCAGAAAGCCACGGCUAACUACGUG